UACGGGGGGAGCAAGCGUUGUUCGGAUUUACUGGGCGUAAAGGGCGCGUAGGCGGCCACCGCAAGUCGACUGUGAAAUCUCCGGGCUUAACCCGGAACGGUCAGCCGAUACUGCGGGGCUAGAGUGCAGAAGGGGCAACUGGAAUUCUCGGUGUAGCGGUGAAAUGCGUAGAUAUCGAGAAGAACACCUGCGGCGAAGGCGGGUUGCUGGGCUGACACUGACGCUGAGGCGCGAAAGCGUGGGGAGCAAACAGG
rnacentral:rRNA from 1 species